rnacentral:rRNA from 1 species
AAUGGCAGGUACAGAGGGAUGCUACCGGGCGACCGGAUGCGGAUCUCGAAAGCCUGUCCCAGUUCGGACUGGAGUCUGCAACCCGACUCCACGAAGUUGGAUUCGCCAGUAAUCGCGCAUCAGCCAUGGCGCGGUGAAUACGUUCCCGGGCCUUGUACACACCGCCCGUCAAGCCAUGGGAGCCGGGGGCGCCUGAAGUCCGGGACCGCGAGGACCGGCCUAGGGCGAAACUGGUAACUGGGGCUAAGUCGUAACAAGGUACC